AAAAAACUAGUUAAUUAAUAUAACAAAAGAAUGUCAUUCUUUAGUAACCUAAACGGUGUUUUUUA
rnacentral:tRNA from 1 species